rnacentral:lncRNA from 1 species
GUAGUGAUCGCCAAGUGGUAUAGAACUUGAAUGCACGUAACUGUGGAAAUCCUGAUAGAAUGUAAGAGAUGACAAGUAUCAUAAGAAAUACUAACCUUGAUGCUCGGCUUGUUGGUCAUGUUCAUUUGAACAAGACAUUGUAGAAAAGAUAAGCAUGGCAUAAAUAACAAUGGUACCAUGGAAAUAAUGCUUAGUUUUCGUGUUAAGUAUGGAUACGUGAGUUUAAGAGAGGUGAUUUUGGUAGUAACAAUAAGUCUUUGAAUGAUUAUAAUAUGCGUAUGAUAAUAUAUCGACCCCUCCUAUGAGCUUAAGGGUAAUCAGAAUUAAAGAUAGUAAUGGAAUGUUUAGGAUGGCUCAUAGUGAACAAAAUAAAAGAUAGCAUAUGAUGUAUGAGUAGAAUGAAAUAAAUCGACUUAUUUCAAUUAGUAAACAUAUGAAUGUAAUAUGCUUAAAUAGGAUGUUAGAAACAAGCCAUAGACUUAGUUUGUAUGGUUAAUAACUGUAUACAAUUGAAAUAAAUUAGAUGAAUGAAGCGCUAGUGAUGGUAUGUGCUAGGAGCUAGCAGUAUAAAGUGAAAAUGACACUAAUAAGGGCUCUGGAUCAGAUUCUGACUUUAAUGCGAUUAAGAAAGUAAUUUACUUGAUUUAAGAACGGAGGGACAAUACGUACAAAGACGUUUAUGAAUGAAUGAAACUCUUGCCAAGAUCUCGAAUACAUCCAUGUGGUGUUAAGCCUCGUGAAUGAAAAGAUGAAAAAGUAGGAAUAGAAUUGGUCCAGUUGAAAUGAGAAAGGUUUCGGGGACGAAACCUCUUUUAAGGGGGGUAGAUUUGUAACGCCCAAAAAAUGAAAACUCAAUAAAACAAGUGAGGAUAAAUAACAAACUUAACAUAAUUAAGGAUUUAUGGCAAGAUGGUAGUGAAAUGUAGUUUAAAGAUUAGAUUUGUAAUUAGCAACUAAGUGAAGGGGGUAAAGUGCAAAGUGGUUAAACUUAAAUUAGUUAAAAAAAAAAACAAACUAACCCCCAAACACAGUGAGUGUGUCUGGGGGAACGAUCGAACAAGGAAGGAGGAGGGGGAAACCCUAAACUCAAGAAAUCAAGCAAUUGAAGCCUAAAAUCAUAAGAAAAUCCAGUGCAUGAGCCAUCUUAUCGAUCAUCUAAGCAUACCUAGUGAAGUGGUAAGUCGAAUUUCUGGAUUUGGUGAAUUGUAGAAAAAGGGUUUCAACCCAAUCAUAAAUUCGUGGUAUGAUUUGUGUUGAUUAGAUGUUAGGGUUACUCCCUUGAUUGGAAAUCAUGUUUGAUUUUAGUUAAAUUGAAAGAAAAAUUUAUAAACCUACAUGUAGUAGUAGAGAUGAUGAUAUGGAUGAUUAUACAUGUUCAAUGCUUGUGUGAUGUUGAUACUUGAUGUUGAUUGUAAGAAGUAAUUGUUAGAUAAUGGUAUAAAAGUUAUAUAAUUCUAGUUGGAAUUGAUAAUCUAUGUUAUGAAUUAGGAAGAUGAACAUGAGAAUAUUUGUACAUUAUGCUUUAAAUGCGAAACCCGCCAAGUGUUUGAUGAAAUGCCUACAAAGUUUGUCUAAAAUAGUUACUUUUGACAGCCUUAGAUAGUCAUCUUGUAAAGGCCGUAUCUCAUUCGUUAUUAGGAGUUAGACAACGAGCCUUAUAUCGUUGAAAAGGUUGUUUCGCAUAUUACAUUUCAUAUUUGGUCAUAAGAGGCUGGUUAUGAGAUUUAGUGGGUCAAAACAGCAUGAAGAGUUAGUAAAUUCGUUUUGACAGCAAGCUGUUUGGAAGCAUUUCAGCUUCUGUGCUGAUUUGUAAAAAUCAUAUAAAAUCAUAGGAAUGUCCGAUUGUUACGAUCUUUAUAUGCUUAGAAAGAUCUCUGAGUGUAGAUCAUUUCAUAUUUGAACAUGAAGAACUGAAUCAGAAGAUAAAUGGGUUAAAAUGUGUCGUGAACAGCUGCUGCGCAGAAAGUUGCUGCACAUUUUUAGUAUAAAUAUUAAGUAAAAAUAGUUGUAUUGUUAUGCACAUUUGUAUGAAUCAUGAACUACUGAUUUUAAUAAAUUAUUAGUAAGCUAUUUGAUUGUUUUAAGUGUCUAAAACACUUACCAACUAGUCUAUGCAUAUGAUUGCACCAACGGGUCGAAACGGGUUGUUGAUAGAAAAUAGUAGAAUGGAUGUGUAAAAAACCAAGGUGUUAAGAAAUGGUAUGAAAUGUUUAAUGUACGAAACAAGUUGCCUAACUUAGAAAAUGUUAUCAUUCUAAGUAUGGAAUUUUGAAAGAAUAAUGAACAUGAUGUAAAUACAUAAUUAUGCAUGCUAGAAGCUCAUGUAUGACUUUUGUGAUGAUGGAAUGAUAAAUUGUACAGAAUUGGAAUGAAAUAAUUGUUAAAAUAGGACUUGUGUAUGUUAUAAUGGACUAGUGAAAGUCAAUGUGACCCAUGUGUUGGAAAUGGAUGUUAUUAUGUAUAAGCAUAUAUGCUAACAAUGUUGUAAACAUGAUAGCUUGAAAGAAUAAGAACCAUGCCAAGAUGGACCAACUCAUGGGAAGCAAACGGGUCAAAGAGGAGGCAAAGAAACUAGCAUAAACAUGACGAGCACGAGGUUAUGAAUGUCGGACUUUCAAAGUGUUGAUAUAAUAAUGAAACGGUUGAAUCUUGAAAGGAUAAUCGGAUUGAAGUAACUUAUGCGGUAAAUCCUCAAUUCAGGCGACUUGGAGAAUCGGAGCGAGCGCGUGUUCAUGUUAUGUCAUACUAAACGCUUCCGCUAGCUUGUUCAAAUGUUUUUAGUCCAAAAUUUGUUGUAUUGGUUCUUAGUAGUAUUUUGUCGAAUGAAUCGUAGAAUUGUAUCUAGUUUGAUUAUGUUUAAAACAGGGGAAUGCUCGUUUUAUGGACGGGUCAUGCCCAAUUUUUGUUAAAUUAAUGCACCUGCGUUAUU